GCGGUUCAUGCGUGACAUCAUAUUAUCAACGAGUACUUCUAUCAUACACAUAAUGAAAGAUUCACCCCGUGUUUACACACAGAAUGACAUUGAUUGUAUAAGGUCUGAGUGGACUUGAGUUUGUAGGGAAGCACGUACAUUGUGCUUAGGAUAAGAUAUUUUGUCACACAUUUUGUCACAUAUUUUGUCAUAUAUUUUGUCACAUAUUUUGUCACAUAUUUUUGUGUUCGAGCUGUCAUGAGAAAUACAGUGUUGGAGGAAAAUACAGCUAUCAUGUUCAAUAUUAAUAAGGCGCUAAAAGUUGUUCUCAGCCUUCUAUUUCAAAUCCCAGAACUUCAGAAUCUAUUUUUAUUCAAAAGGUUUUGCCACAAUCUAUUGGAGCAAUGAAGCCGUAUUUACGCCAAUUCAUUGAUGUAUAGGUUUUUUUGUAGGUUUGGUAGAAAUAUUUUUUGUUUAUAAUUUGUUCGUACCAAAACACAUUUG